UCUGGCUUAUAGCCAAGCGGUAUCGUUAGAGUGCCCAACUUAAUGAUGGUAACUAACGACGAGGGUUGCGCUCGUUGCGGGACUUAACCCAACAUCUCACAACACGAGCUGACGACAGCCAUGCAGCACCUGUCACCGCGUCCCCGAAGGGAACUCCGACUUUCAUCGGAUAGCGCGGGAUGUCAAGCCCAGGUAAGGUUUUUCGCGUAGCAUCGAAUUAAACCACAUGCUCCACCGCUUGUGCGGGCCCCCGUCAAUUCCUUUGAGUUUUAAUCUUGCGACCGUACUUCCCAGGCGGAAUACUUAACGCGUUAGCUACGUCACCGAGACGAUUAGGAUUCCCGACGACUAGUAUUCAUCGUUUAAGGCGUGGACUAC
rnacentral:misc_RNA from 1 species